rnacentral:misc_RNA from 1 species
AUGAAGGAGAAGGAAGAGGAGCUCCUCUCUCUAAGGAAAAAGAAAAGCAGGGGAUGGAAGACAAUGUUCCCAUUGGAGGGAAAUUUUGUUUUCCUUUUAGCUUAAAUUAUUACACAUUAGAGUAAUUUCUUACAAGUUAGCACACAAGUAUUGAACGUUAUGCCCUCUCUCGCUCAGACACUUGUCUAAUAGUGUCAAAAAUAAAAGUUCAAGUGUGUGAUGGGAUAAAUUUUAUUAAAAAAAGAAAAGGUAAAGGUAUCAUCAGGAUUUUUGGUAAUGUUCAUGGGGCAAAAUAUAUAUUCACCUAAAUAAAAUUACAAGAAACACAACUGACAAGGUGAUCUAAAUUUUGAUACAACAAUCACUCCAGUAUGUUUUGUUAACCGCUACAAAAUUUGAUGCCAUGUUUUGAUACUAGUAGGUAAUUAAAUCCUAAAAUUCUAAACAGAAAAUAUAUCUAACAAAAAAAAAAGUAAUCAUAUGUGGUAAAAUGCCACAUUUUUCAACUGCCUGAUAUCAUUUAUUCCUAAUAUUGGGAAGACUUGCAGA